rnacentral:rRNA from 1 species
AGUAACGCGUGAGCAAUCUGCCUCUAUCAGCGGAUAACACUUAGAAAUAGGUGCUAAUACCGCAUAAGACCACGAAGUCGCAUGACUUUGGGGUAAAAGCUCCGGCGGAUAGAGAUGAGCUCGCGUCCUAUUAGCUAGUUGGUGGGGUAACGGCCUACCAAGGCGACGAUAGGUAGCCAACCUGAGAGGGUGAUCGGCCACAUUGGAACUGAGAAACGGUCCAAACUCCUACGGAAGGCAGCAG